GUACUGUUUAGAAAAUAUGUUAUAAAAAAGUUUUUCAGGAAAACAAAAAUUGUGAAUGUUCCUAGCUUUUCAAAGUGUCUAUUAUUUAAAUAUAUAUGUAUAGUCCCUCAAUCAUGCUAUUUAACAUUGCAUUGGAGAUAUAUGACAAUGUAUGAGGGCUGUAAUUGGCGAACCUUCAUAACGAAUAACAAAAAAAUCUUGCAAAAUGACAUUACUGAAAUUUUUUUUGUACAUGGCGAUAAAAUGUACACUUUCCCUUAAAAAAAAAAUUAACUGAUAAUGACAACUCACAUUAGAUUGUUUACAAAAUAUAUAGUAACCUUUAAUUAUUUGAAACCUCUGACAAAUCACGGUAAAAUCUUAACCAAUUUGAUGCUAACCAUAGCUAAAAAUGACUGAGGCUGAUGGUAAAGGAAAUUCCUACUCUCAUAUCUAUCUUCUUAAAACAAAGUCAAUUAUGAAGUUGCAAAUAUUUUGGCAGUAAACAGCUUUCAAAAUUAUCACUGAAAAGGGCAAGUCCUAUAAUUCAUUUAAGUAAAUCUUUACAAGGUACAUGUUACUAAAGAAGUCACCUUGAUUUUUCAAAGAAUUUUCAUUUCAGAUUUAGUUUUGUAUUUUUUUUGUCUUCUUGCAGAUUUAAUGUAUGGUAGAGAUAAAUAUGUACAUGCAUAUUGUAAAAACUGAUAUUUUUAUUGUAUACAAAUUUAAUUCCAAAAUAUAUACCCGUAUGUAAAAUUGAAAGUGACAGCUAUAAUUAUGUACAAUUUUCAGAACGCUAUGUUGAAAUCCAAUAUAAUUUUUGUUACGUCAUUCCGGA
rnacentral:lncRNA from 1 species